rnacentral:rRNA from 1 species
AGUCGAGAAUUUUUCACAAUGGGGGAAACCCUGAUGGAGCGACGCCGCGUGGGGGAUGAAUGGCUUCGGCCCGUAAACCCCUGUCAUUCGAGAACAAAUUGGUUCAAUUAACACCUGAACCAUUGAUAGUACCGGAAGAGGAAGGGACGGCUAACUCUGUGCCAGCAGCCGCGGUAAUACAGAGGUCCCAAGCGUUGUUCGGAUUCACUGGGCGUAAAGGGUGCGUAGGCGGUCGGGUAAGUCUGAUGUGAAAUCUCACAGCUUAACUGUGAAACUGCAUUGGAUACUAUUCGGCUUGAGAGUUGGAGGGGGGACUGGAAUUCUUGGUGUAGCAGUGAAAUGCGUAGAUAUCAAGAGGAACACCAGUGGCGAAGGCGAGUCCCUGGACAACUUCUGACGCUGAGGCACGAAAGCUAGGGGAGCAAA